CAUUUGCCCCUUAUUUUUGAAAUUCAUAUAAUUUUAAGGGUUAACAAAGUGAUUUUUGUAAAGACUGUUGACUUGGGUAAUAAAGCACAACUGCAGAGAACAUCUGGGUCAACAGUUUAUAGAACAUCCUGCCUCAUCAUCCUGUCAUAUUCUAUAGAAACAUCCUGU